rnacentral:rRNA from 1 species
AGGACCGGGAUGGACGUACCUCUGGUGUACCAGUUGUCCUGCCAAGGGCAUGGCUGGGUAGCUAUGUACGGAAUGGAUAAGCGCUGAAAGCAUCUAAGCGCGAAGUCAACUUCAAGAUAAGAUUUCCCACCGCAAGGGUAAGACCCCAGAAAGACUAUCUGGUUGAUAGGUCGAAGGUGUAAGUGCAGCAAUGUAUUUAGCUUAUCGAUACUAAUAGGUCGAGGACUUGACCA